rnacentral:lncRNA from 1 species
UUGAUUGCACGUGGGAGCGAUUGAAACUAUCUAUGACUGUUGUACAAGUUCACAAAACUAAUAAGUGUUUGUGGUCACUUUGUUGUCUAAUUAAAUUUUAGUUUUACUUCUGUGAGACGAUUUCGUACGCGCUGCCUGUCUUGUCCCUGUCAAUCUGUCAAUCACUAUUGAACAUGCGAUUCGGACUUGCUAAAUAUAUUGUCAGAUCACCAUCUUUGGUCGAAUCCCAAAGCCGUUCAUGUUGCCGCUCCUGAACCGAUAACCGAGGAUGCCACUUUUUGUUUCUGAUAUUCCUUUUCAUGAUUGUCGCUAAUGUUGAACCAAGCUCAGCCGAUCGCUAUUUCAUCUCAGCAAAACCACACAAAAUCUGAUUGCUCGUUCCCUUGCGUUACGUGAGGGCAUGCUCUAUAGGAUGACUAGGAAGGAUAGUAGAGCCUUGAAGUGGCCAAGUAGAAUGAGCAAGUACAACAGUACAUGAUGUAAUUUUGCCUAUCCGUCCGUAGUUCCCA